rnacentral:rRNA from 1 species
GACGUAGGGCACAAGCGUUGUCCGGAUUUAUUGGGCGUAAAGAGCUCGUAGGCGGCUUGUCACGUCGGCCGUGAAAUUCUGCAGCUUAACUGUGGGAUUGCGGUCGAUACGGGCAGGCUAGAGUUCGGUAGGGGAGACUGGAAUUCCUGGUGUAGCGGUGAAAUGCGCAGAUAUCAGGAGGAACACCGGUGGCGAAGGCGGGUCUCUGGGCCGAUACUGACGCUGAGGAGCGAAAGCGUGGGGAGCGAAC